UAUGGCCACAUCAUGUUCAAAUACCUAUUCCCGUACUAUCACCGAAGUUAAGCAACGUCGAGCCUGGUCAGUACCUAGAUGGGUGACCGCUUGGGAAUACCAGGUGCUGUAAG